AAAAAAAAAAAAAAAAAAAAGUUCUGAGUUGCAAGACACGCAUGUUAUAAAAGGACGCCAAACAACAUAUGCAUUGCUGAAACGAGAGAAACACAGUAUCAACCUAUUUCUGGUUGGUAAAAGGAUCGGAUAAAAGAAAUAAACACCACCCACGAACCAAAAUCGCACUGCUGAAUUACAAUACAUCAAAUCAUUCUAUCAAGAGAUCAAUACUCCCAUUUCUUCACCUCCAUACCAUCAGGAGGACUUCCUUCCACCUUCUUUGAACCCACUUCUUUCCAGUUUGUGGACAGCACUGUCCCAUUUGACUCUACAAAAGAUUUUUUCAUUGCCCUUCUUGUGUCCUCAUCAGCGUCUUGGUAUAUGUCCCGGAAAAAUUUAUUCAAGGCUGCAUCACCAUCCAGCUUUUCCUCUUUCUCCUGAAAUUCAGACACAUUAUUGUCCAUACCUCAACUGAAAACAUGAUUCUACUAGAUUUCAUAGAAAAUACAGAUAUAUUGAUUGGAAAAGAAACUAACCUUGUGUUAGGAAAGAAGAAUUUGAAAUAUGAGAUUUGAAUUUGAUAAAAGUAUAUGUUUCAUUUAAUUGAUUAGUCAUAAUAUUUAUUAGGCUUAUAAAUGUGGAAAACAUCUUAUUUGAGUGUGGAUUUGAAAUAAUUUAUAAAAUGGUGUUAUUUCAAAUCCACUCUAAUAGUUCUUAACAAAUAAAAUGGCUAUAUUUGAAAUCUACAAUUUAUCAACAAUUUAUACUAAAAUUAGUCCCUUGAUUUCAAAUUUUGAUAUCCAAACAUAGCAUAAAAGAAAUCUACAAGAUUACCUCCUUCUUCAUUUGAGCUUCAAGCUUGUCCCAGUCAGUAGCUUUUGGCUUUGAUGAAGGAUAGGAAGGUCUGUUAGACCCAGUCGCUACAAUUCAACAUAAGAAACAAGCUUAGAAAUGGAAGACACGAUGCUAGCCAGAUUAUUCAGCAUACACAGACUAAAGCAAGCAUUUGUGUUUAAAUAGGCCAGUUCCACCUAUUAACACAAUUCUACAGUAAAUCACAUUCUCUAAAAGCCCUAUGUAUUUCAAUCAAUGAUAGGGAUUAUCUUGGAAGAAGCCACAGUAUCACUCAAUAAUGGAUCACAUACAUUUCACAACUUACACAUUCUAAUGGCAACUCUACACUUGAACCACAGCAGUAACAAUUCAAACAAAUGCAAUUGUUUGGUUAUAAGUAUAGAGUUUGCAAUAAAUUCAGAAAUGAAGCAAAUGUUAACAUGAAUAAUAUAUGAUUCACAUUAGUGACAAUGAGUAGCGUUUGUUAUUCUUUUCAUUUCGUUUUACUCUAUUUUUGGGGGAAAGAGGAAAUAGGAAUGAAAGAGGUACAGGAAAAAUCAAUUCCACACUCACCUGAGGAUACAUCGACUCUUUGUACAACUGUUGGUUCCUUCUUGUAUUCAAGGGAGGUCCAUUGUAUAGGAUCAGCCUUCGCAAGGCGGAUUUCAACCUUUGUAGACAAAACAUCAUAUCUACACUUGGCAGGUAUUAU
rnacentral:misc_RNA from 1 species